UAUAAUUUCACAUAUUAUUCUGCAAUAGAUUCAGGAACUCGAGUAAUCUGUACUCGACAUUUUUUUUGAACUUGAUAUCAUAACAAUCACAGGUUCCAUAAACAAGUUCGUAUUAGACCUUAAGUCGAAUAAACCAGCUUUAGUAUCAUUGCAGAUGAUAACAUUGAUAUGUUCCUAUCCGACUCAAUCAACAAGUUCAUUUAUUUAUUUUCACUCGCUCAUGUUGCUGAUCCAGUGGUGUCACUACUUUUGCGGCGCCUCUCCAAUUAGCUGCAUAGGAAUAGUAAUAUUUUGAUCUGCCAUUUGAUAUUUUUGUUUUUGUUUAUGUUCUUUGCGUUUUCGUAGAAGGUACCGUCUAUUUCUAAAUCAAAUAGUUUAAGAUCGUCAUCUUGGGUACGGAGCAUACAACGAACAUAUCUGUAAAUAGAAGAAAAUAAACAAAUCAAAUAAUAGUUAAAAUAAAAUAAGUUAAAACUAUAAGUAAAUAGUCCCCAGCAACAGUGCCAAAAGCUUGUUGCAUUUUUCAUAUGACAAGUAUAUGAUAUCAUAACACGUAAUAUAGUGGACAUUUGAAUCCAUAUUAUUGUUUUCACGCGGACUAUACUUUAAUAUUUAAUCUAUAUUUUGAACUAUUAUCUGAGGCAAACAAAUAAAGAGUAGUGAUUUUUAAUCACACUAAUUGAAAAUAAGUGGAUGCAUACAAAGUUUGAUUUAGUGUUUCAAAGACGGAAUAGAUAUUAGGGCAAAACAAUUUCAUCUAUUGAUAACAUUUAAAUCUUAAUUCAAGAUUCAUAAUCUAAUAUAGUGUUCGAUCAAAUUUUUCUAUUGUAUUCAAUUUACCCAUUUUGAGUUUU
rnacentral:lncRNA from 1 species